rnacentral:lncRNA from 13 species
UCUGAGACUGAUGCUUUAAACCAAAUGGACUGAAAUGUUUAUAACUGAAAGAGAGCAGAGUUAGGGAAUCUGCCAAAGUUGUCAAAAAGCAGGAAAUGGGCAUUCAACUGAACGUCAUAGAAACCAAUAAUUGGAAAAAAAUACCAACAUUUCAUGUUUAUCCCCCACUUAGUUAAAACUCCUCAGUUCACUCCUCCAUAAAGGGGAGUAGGGUCAUGGUUUUCAAACAUGCCAAGGAAGGAAGGUCACUGAGAAUGUUUCUGUCUGCCUUACUGACCACUGCAGAUAAGCAGCCACCGCUCGACCCGCUUAGAAACAUUACAUCCUGUUUCCGCCAAGGGUCCUGGGUGGAGCCCCAGAGCCUGCCGUCCAGGGCUGUGGCAGUUGGAUGGGAAGCUCAUUGGAAGCCUAGCAGGGGUGCUGGACCCUGGGCACAGAUGCUGCAUCCCUGCGAAAGGAGAACAAUGGAGACAAGAUUUCACCAUGUUGCCCAAGCUGGUCUUGAACUCCUGGACUCCAGCGAUCCACCCACCUUAGCCUCCCAAAGUGCUGGAAUCACAGAUAUGAGACACUGCACCCAGCUACACAAAUUUUUUUCUCUGCUGUUUAAAUAGAAUUUGUAAGCUUUUUCAGUUCGCAGGACACGCUUGGAGGUACAGAGGGCGCCAUGCUAUCUGUACAAAGUAGCAUGCCUCUCUUCUUCCUCUUCACAUUCUUCAAAGUCCCACUUUUGUUUUCUGCCCAUUUUAAUGUUUACAAUAUAUGUCCUCGCAACUGUAUGUAAUACAGAAAGAUAAAUUUUUUUUGUAUGUUUGUAUUUUACAUACGUGUUUCGCAUAUAACUUCUUGCAUUCAAUUUCUUGUUCUUUGCCUUAUGUUAAGAUCAAUCUAUGUUAAUCUGUGGGUACAUCUAUUAGGUUGGUGCAAAACUAAUUGUGGUUUUUGCCAUUAGUUUUAAUAAUGUUUUUCUGUAUGUUCGUAUUUUACAUAAGUAAUUUGCAUAUAACUUCUUGCGUUCAAUUUCUUGCUCUUUUCACUAUUUUAAGAUCAAUCUGUGUUAAUCUGUGGGUAAAUCUAUUAGGUUGGUGC